rnacentral:rRNA from 1 species
ACGUAGGGUCCGAGCGUUGUCCGGAAUCAUUGGGCGUAAAGGGCGCGUAGGUGGCCCUCGCAAGCGUGCGGUGAAAGCUCGGGGCUCAACCCCGAGUCGGCCGUGCGAACUGCGGGGCUCGAGCACUGUAGAGGCAGGCGGAAUUCCGGGUGUAGCGGUGGAAUGCGUAGAGAUCCGGAAGAACACCGGUGGCGAAGGCGGCCCGCUGGGCAGGAAGGCUCGCAAGAGCCGGCUGACACUGAGGCGCGACAGCGUGGGGAGCAAACAGGA